UCCGGGGGAAGCUCACCGCCGAGGCCACCCACUGGGUGCGCGUCACCCCACCGCCCCGCCUCGGGGAAGGUCUGAGGGAAGGGCCGCCCACGGCUCCCGCAGAGCCCCGCCCGCGACGGGCGGGUGAGCCACCAGCAAGGGGGGGCGUCGCGUUACGGGCCGGUCCUGGGCAGGAGAAGCUGCGUGGGUCAAUGGGGGGCGGGGAGGGGCGCUUCGCCCCGCCCCCUCCCAACCCCCGGCGGAUGCUCGUGGCCCCGCGGUGCUUUGAGACAGACUCACGGCCGGCGAUCGCUGAGUCCAAUGGGUGAGGUGGGGCACGGGCCCUACAACCUAAUUCAGACUACUCUCCCCCGGA
rnacentral:RNase_P_RNA from 1 species